rnacentral:rRNA from 1 species
CACCAGCCCCUCGAGUGGUGGGGAUGAUUAUUUGGCCUAAAGCGUCCGUAGCCGGCCGGGUAAGUUUCCCGUUAAAUCCAGCGUCUCAAGCGUUGGACUGCGGGAAAUACUGCCUGGCUAGAGAGUGGGAGAGGUCAGCGGUAUUCUGGGGGUAGGGGCGAAAUCCUUUGAUCCCCGGAGGACCACCAGUGGCGAAGGCUGCUGACUAGAACACGUCUGACGGUCAGGGACGAAAGCUGGGGUAGCGAACCGGAUUAGAUACCCGGGUAGUCCCAGCCGUAAACGAUGCAUGCUAGGUGUUGGGUUGGCCACGAGCCACCCCAGUGCCGCAGGGAAGCCGUUAAGCGUGCCGCCUGGGAAGUACGAUCGCAAGAUUGAAACUUAAAGGAAUUGGCGGGGGAGCACCACCAGGCGUGAAGCCUGCGGUUU